rnacentral:rRNA from 1 species
UACGGAGGGUGCGAGCGUUAUUCGGAAUUACUGGGCGUAAAGCGCGUGUAGGCGGCAGGGCAAGUCUGGUGUGAAAGCCCAGGGCUCAACCCUGGAAGGGCACUGGAAACUGUCUGGCUUGAGUUCCGGAGAGGAGGGGGGAAUUCCCGGUGUAGCGGUGAAAUGCGUAGAUAUCGGGAGGAAUACCGGUGGCGAAGGCGCCCCUCUGGACGGGUACUGACGCUGAGGCGCGAAAGCGUGGGGAGCAAACAGG